UACGUAGGGACCAAGCGUUGUCCGGAAUCAUUGGGCGUAAAGCGCGCGUAGGUGGCCAUUUAAGUCCGCUGUGAAAGUCAGAGGCUCAACCUUUGAAAGCCGGUGGAUACUGGAUGGCUAGAGUACGGAAGAGGCGAGUGGAAUUCCUGGUGUAGCGGUGGAAUGCGCAGAUAUCAGGAAGAACACCUAUGGCGAAGGCAGCUCUCUGGGACGGUACUGACGCUGAGGAGCGAAAGCGUGGGUAGCAAACAGG
rnacentral:rRNA from 1 species